rnacentral:lncRNA from 1 species
CCAUCAACCAUGGGACUCCCUUUUGAUUUAAGGAGGCCAGAACAUCUAAAUAAGCGAACAACUUUCUGUGGAACGAGCAGACAGGAUGGAUUUCUGCAGUGUGCUGUUAUGCUUUGGGAAGGGAGGAAAGCAUCUGUUCUCUCGGAGCCCAGCCAAUGUGUCUAAGGUCUUGAAGACAGCAAGUUCAGAAAGUAGUGACUCUGCUGUAACCACAGCCGAGUGAAGAAGCUGUCAUCAUCAGGAUCCCGCUUCACAGUGUAAGCAUCCUUAUCCCCACAUGAAGAAAUAAUAUGGCAUUUGCCUGUCAACUGUGAGUCAGGCAGCGUCAUGUGGAGCGCUUAAAGAAAAUCACCAUCUCUGUCUCAGGGAUGAGCGGAGAGGUGAAAGAAGAUAAAGACACCUCCAAACAAGGAGUGAACUUUAUACAAGAAGAUGAUAAAGCCUGUGACGGGUGACAGACACAGUAAGGAAUUACUUCAGGAAGCACCUCAAUUAUGACUCACUACUUUAAAAAGACUUAAUUGCAAGUGAGUAAGCCAUAGUUGUGCAGGCGCCACUCAGGACGGCAACCCUCCCAUGGCCGAGCAUCGAUUUCAGAAAGUAAACACACACUUCUCUUGGGUUCUGUUCCUAUUGCUUUCUUAAAAAGGGAAAGCUUUGUUAAAAAGUGAAGGCUUUGUUAUUCACAGUAUCUUCACAUUGUCCAAAUAGACCUAGUAAGCAUAAGGGACAGACAUAUGGCCCACCUUUGGCAAAUCAAAUAGAAGACCCAAGGAGGUAAUGACUCAUCCGAGAUCUAAUUCUAGAAUGGGACCAUA